GCCUCUGUUAGGCAUUGAGAAUGUUUAUCUGUGUUGCCUGUGGAAUUUUCAUUAAAAGGAAUGUGUAUUUUCAGUAUGAACUUGCAUCACGGAGCAGCCUCUGUGUUUAGGAUUAUUUCCGGAGCUCUAAAAUGAAACAAUGUUCAAAUUCAGGUUAUAGGCACUUGGUUUUGUUUUUCCUAAUAGCCCCUUCCCAGACCAAGGAUUUUAUAGUAAAUAUCCAAGUCAGUUAAUAGUUAUUUUGAGAAGGAUAUCAUAAUGCAAAGUAAGUUUCUCAGUUUGGUAUGUUGUUGUAGAAUAAAUCAUUGGAAUCACUAUUAUUUCAUUAUUGCUUAGAUGAUCUUGACUUUUUUUUCCUAUGAAAAUACUACAGAACUUUACACAGUGUCUUCUGUUCCAGUGCAGCCAUCCAGUGUGGCAUUGGUGGUAUAGUGGUGAGCGCUAAGUUCAGCUGUCUGCAACUAUUAAGUGCACUUACUAAUACAAAGUGGCACGCACACACACACCUUUGCAUAUUAAUGAUUUUAAUUUUCUAUAGAUGUCUACAUGACACACAGAUUGAUUACAAGUUGUCCAACUCUGAUGAAUUACAGCUGAAUAGACUUGAAUUGGAAAAGUUGUAAACUUCUACCAAAUUAAAUAACAGAAGGAUAGAUAGUACAGUCUUUUAUCAGCAUAAUUGUCAUAUAUUAAUAAUUGGUGUUCAUCAAAAGUGGAAUCAUCUACAUGAACAAACUUACAGUUACCUAUAAACCCUUCUCCAAAGCCAAAGAUACUUCUUAAAGGACCAGAAGAACACUAAAUUCUCUUCCCUUUUGAAAAAGGAUUUGAUAACACUAUCAAGGUGAGAUUUAGAGGCAAAUAGGGGCUCCAGGUAAGAUUUAAACAACUUGAAAUUUUAUACAAGUAUAUUUUCAUUAUAAUUAAUGAAUCCUCUUUUAAAAAACAGCCUGGCUGUUGUCAACUUCUGAUAAAAUAUACAAUUAUGGGAGUAUUUAUAAUUGAUAUAUUUGUAACAUAGUAUCUUUUCAGAUUUUCCUAAACUUUUACUCUAUCGACAUUUAUAGUGUUACCUGACAGGAGUUUUCCUUUAGAAGAAUGUUGUUCUUGUUUAAGUUAUAGGCUUGAUGAAAUACUUAAGGGAUAUCUUGGAAAUGUUAUAUAAAAAUGAUUAAACUCAAGCUGUGGACUGUAAAAAUUAUAGCUUUAUAGGCCACAUGCCUGCCUACCCUUCAAUCACUGUCAAAGUGAUAAUUUCUACAAUAAUAUGUUUCUUUUAUUGUGAGAUUCUAAACAUCAAGUGCUGUUUAAACAUUAAACUGAAUUGUUUAUGUUAGUGCUGUACUCAGCGUGUCAUACAUCAGGCCACCGUAAUCUCUCAUGGAAUGUAAAAUUCUGUCAUGAAUCAUGGCUUGUAUAUCGGAAAUUACUGUAAUUUUGAUUGGAAAUUACAGGGCUCUUGAAAUGUUUCUAAUUAUGAUAGAAUGUUAGAGCCGCUUUAAACCUGUGUGCUUCUUCAGAUGUCUUCAUUUACAUGCCAAGACUACGCAUUAAAGAGAAAUGUCCUGGUCUCACUUUACCCUCCCCCCCCACCUACUUGCCCACCCCACACAUCUUUGUUUUGGCUAUUUAGUCUAAUUAUGAUGAGGAUCUCAUAUUUAAAUAUAUAUUAUCUUGCCUUUCUUUCUGAUUCUGCAUUUUUGUUCUGACCUGUCCAAUCAUCAGUGAUAAUCAGACUGCAUUCCCACUUUCCCCAAAUCUCCGAAAUGGAGAAACUAGACAUGUAUUAUUAUAAUAGAGGUUAGCAUUAAAACAAAAAUUAAUAUUAAAACUUUUUAAUAACCGUAUUUAGUUGUCUGUCACCUGUCAUUCAAUUCAAUCUACCCCCACCCCCGCCACCAUUUUUCUUUCUGUUCCCUGUGAUUCUUAGAUCCUUUGCUAUCUUUGACUUCAUCCUUUUAAAUGGUACCUCAGGUUCUCCCAGUCCUGGGCUGAGUUACUGAUUUUGGAGCUGUUUAGACAGUAGCAGCAAUCGGCUGAUAAUGUCAUGUAGGUGAUGUUCUAAUCCAUUUUAAACAUCCCUGCUGUUUGUCCUCUGUCCUACACAGCUCCUGGUGGGUCUCUAUUUCAGCAAUGUCAGUAAGCAACUGCAGGCAUCUUCUGUGAUGGUGUGUUUUCCAAAACUCCAAAAGCUUUUAGCUAGUUAUUCAUUACUGGUUGAGAGAAAAUUAAAGGGGCCAACUGUGGGCUAUGGGAGUCAAGCAAACUAUUAACUUCAUUCCCUUGGAUAGUUAUUCUCAACUUCUAACUUAUUCCAAGGUCCUAAUAGAGCAUUUUUGUAGUUUUGUCUUAGUUGUUCAGUUUAAUGUUAGCACUACCCUGUUGAUGAAAAUAUGUACAAAGAUAGGUGAUUGCUCAAAAACUGAGACAAUCCAAAACCUGUGUGAAUCACUAGUAAACGAAACCUGACUUAAUCAGGAAAAGUGGCCAUUUGCUUAGCUUCUGUUCUCAUGCUAUGUUUUGUGAAGGAAACAGAAAAACAAAAACGAACAAACAAAAAAAAAACCAACCUUCAAAUCAGACUGACUUUUAUAAUGGUCAAAAUUUUGUGCUUCUAAAGUAUAUACAUUUAGGCCUCAGAUACGUGUGUCAGGGCUUGCCAGAAUGAGGCAGCAGCCCCUCAAGACAAAGGGUGUGUGAAGCAGGAAGAACCAGAGUCACUUCUGUCUAGCUCAUCUACUUCCAUCUGCUUCUGUGUCUUGCCCUGGUUGUCUGGGUUGACUUAACCAUUAUGUUUUUUGUGCUAGACCCUAUAAUGUAUUAUAGAUUAUCUACAUUAAUUUAGUAACCUUGUGAGCUAUUAUUUUCUUCAUUUUACACACGAGAGUUCCUUAACUAAUAAAUAUAACAGAGCCAAAUCCAAAUUCUUUGCAUUUCUCCUGUUUUAGACUGUCUUCAGGGUUCAGGGCAGCGUCAACACUAAAGUAAUACCCUGCUCUGGGGAAGAGGAAUUAAGGACAGUGGACUUAUUGAUAGUAGAAACAGUGAGGGCUUUCCUUUCUUCAUUGACAUUCAUGGAACACAAGGUUCUUACCAAAACAAAGCCUUCAGAAUCCAGAUUUUAUCAUACCGAAUGGAGGUAGGUGUACAUGGUGGAGGAGUCAAAGGAAACCAGCUCUGAUCCAUGCUGUGUCAUUGGUGCUAGAAUAUUGGGAAAUUUUAACUUUUGAACCCAGGAUUUUUUUUAACAUAGACGGUCACAUGCUACAAUGCAUGGAAAAGAGCUUUUAAAUUAUAUAGCUACUAUACCCAAAUGGUAACGUUUUAUAAUGUGCUAAGCAAGAGGUUCAGUCCUCCAAAUGGAUGAGAGAUUUAUUUAUCAUGUAUUUAUGUAUCAUAAAUACCUUCCAUUUUAAAAGGUAAAGCAUGCUCUGCAGUGACUAAUGCACAAAGUAUUUUCAGUAAAAGAAACCAACUCAUGUGGAUUCCACCAUUUCACAUGUAUUGUCUCCUCAAUGAAUAAUAGAUAUGGAAUUGUUUUUAACUCUGAUAGAAAUGUCUGAAUAAAAUAUGCAAGUAAAAACUGAAGGUGGGCUACUUUUUGUGCUUGGUUAGGAAAGCAGGCUAAUGCAAACUUUAAAAAGAUGAUAAGCUUUAAACAUAAUGUGAAUAGCUACAAAUGAAUACACUUUAUAUUCUGGGUAUUCAAAUAAGCAGCAGUUUUUCCAAGUGAAUCAUAUUGGAAUUUUAUCAAACAUUUAGUCUGAUAACAUUCAAAUAAUUAGGAGACCAGAAUUUGCUAAUUUUACUGUUUAAAAAAAAAUAGUUGAUUUGGGUAAUAACCAUUACGGUAUCAAGGUUCAGUUACUGUUCAUUGGUUAUAGUGUUUUCAUAUGGGAGAUGGAAAUGGAAUUUUUUCCUUAAUGGUGGCAGAUGUUGGAAUCUAAUUUUAUUCCACAGCAAACCCCUUGAGAGCCCUGAGACUUAAGGUGUGUGUCCAGCAAGGGGACAUUAGCAGCACCGUAGGCCUUGCCUUGUACACUGAAUUGUUACAUUGAUUUUCAUGUUUGCAUUGGUGGAGCCUGCAGAUACAGUAGUGCAGUAAGAGAGUAAAGGGCUUUCACAGAGCCAUGCUGCAUCAUCACUUGUGCUUAGAAAAUGAUUUCCUCUAGUGGUCUAUUGAACAACAUAUUUAUUUUGGGCAAAGCAACUAGCUGAUGAAAAUUCUAUUUGACUAACAUGCUUUUGAUAUAAUAUUUUGCAGUCUCUGAGUUGUAGUACUUUCUGGCUGCUAAAACUUUGGCUGAUUAAUAGGUAUGCUUUUUAAUAGUAAAAAAAAGAGCAUUUCUGACUCUGCUGAAAUAGCAUGACUUGCAGAAGAGACCAAAUAAUUUAAAGCCUUUUCUUUCAUCUACUUUUCAGUCGCUUUUGUUUGUCAUUGAGAUUCAGGGCCCCUAGGAUGAAAGAGAGGGAAAAAAGGAAGAAAGGAAAAGAAUACCUCCAUUUUCCUUAGCUUUGUAGGUGAACGAAAACAUCAUUCUGACCUUUAUGUUUGGAAAUUCUCGUAAUGAAUGUCUUAAGUGCAAGUAAGACGUAUGUCACAAAUCAUUGGGGCUAGAAAUAGGGCUGAAAAUAGAUCUAUAGUGACAAAAUCCAGGAAUAAAAUCAUGGAACCAUUGACAUUGCAUUCUGUAUGCUAGCAUGCUAGUGCAGGCAUCUUUUAUUUUGCUAGAAUUAAAUUACACUUCAGUUUGUAACUUUGUGCUAAUUAAUUCUUUUGGAAUGUUCAUGUAACAGACUUUGCUCCAACAGUUCACCUGUGUAGCCUCCUAUUUAAGGCACACAGGAGGCCUGCAGAUUUGAGAAUCAUGGUUUCUGUUAUUCCCAGUGCUACACCCUUUUCGUAGCAGUCUGUGGGAUCUUUACAUUGUGGCCUAAGGGCCCCUUUCCUUGGGCAAAUGAAGCUUUCUUUGGUCACUCUCUAAAAAGAGAACUACCCCUUUACAUGUACUCCAUCUAAAUGUGGAGGACACCCUGAAGGGGAUAUAGCUUCGGUUUCCCUGGACCCAUUUGCCUGGAAGAGGAAGAGGCAAGAGAAGUAUUUGUGGGGAAAACAAGAAGAGACAUAAAAUGGCCCAGAGUGUGGUCCCUGCAUCUCAGCAGGCUGCCGGUGUUAAGUUUAACACACAUCUUUGGAGGUGCCUACGCUCCAUUCUUGAGUAAGAAGGAUGUGGAUGGAGUUCAUCAGUCUCCUAUUUAAGGUGUUUUAUAUUAGUAGCCAUUUCUAAAAAUCUCUUAUGUCUUGAUCUUAGGAAUUAAUAUUGGGCUCAGUUUUCUAAAACGUUGACCUAUCUUUAUAUUUCUAGUUGAAUGCCAAACAGGACUUUUAAAAUUAAUGUCUUUAAAUAUUGACAUAAUCUAAUAGUUUGAAGGUACAUGAUUGUAUGUUAUAUGAUUUUUAAAGAGCUGGUUAAAUUUGUGAAUCUGAAUAUGCAUUGUUUUCAGAUUUCUGCUUCUAAAAAUAAGUAUGUUUGUUUUAGUAUAUCUAGGAUUUGAUCAAUGCGGACCAGAAUUAUUAAAUAGAACAGUUGCUUACCUAUCAUAUUUUUGGCUAAAAAGUCCUGCCAAGGGGUGAUUUAUCCCCUUGACACUUGGCAUUAUCUACUUUUAAAAAAUGAACAGAAGAUCUUUGGUUAUCAUGUUGCUACUUUGAAAUAAUUUAAAAUGUUCACCUUUUCCCCAUAAAUUUAGAAUUGAUUAACUGAAAGUCAAAUAUAUUUUUCUCUUCGACCCACUUAAUAAACUUAACUGUUACAAAUAUAGACAUAACUCAUUAAGCCUCAUUUCUCCAUCUUUAGAAGAUGUCAUAAGAAAAUUUUUAGAACAGAUUUGAAGAGAAUUAAUUUGUGAAUAUUGAGCCAGCUUUAAAGAGGUUCAUCAUGUGAGGAAAUAAAAGGAAGGUUGCUGCAAGAGUGGUUCCUUUACAGCAAUCCAGCAUGUAUAUUCUGAAGCAUGGCUAAGCCAACUAUUUAUUCAUAGAGCCUGCUUUAAUCUGAGAGCACCUUUUAUCCUAAAAUGUUAGUGUAAGCUGAAAAGGGUAAACUAAGAAUAUUUUAUAAUGUUUUCUGUUUUUGGAAGCUCUUCUAUAUUCAGUUUUGGCAGUUGAAGAGUGAGUUCUUCAGGACAGGUUCGGGUGUCUACAAAAAACAGCAAACCAACGAGUUUUCACUCCUAACAGGAAUUAGUCUUAAAACUGAGUGUCAUUAAGUUAAACUUAUUACACAACUAUAACACUGAUAUAAUCCUUUAACAAUCUACCAAGUUAGAAGAUAGUGCUUUUUCUCAAAAGUCUCAAUAGUUGUCUUUUAUGUUUUUGAUAAUGUAAGUAGGUUUUAUUUUAUCUUCUUUUUUCCUCACAUGAGAAAUGAAAAUAAAGACCCUGUGAAAUGAAUGAGCUAUGAAAAUGCAUUUAUGCAAAAUGACAAUAGAAAAAUAGCUCUGGAAGAAACUGUACCAUUAAAAUUUCACAUCAAUGAAAGGUGCUAAGAGAGGGAUGGAAGAACUUAUGUCAGUAAAAUGAAUCUAACAUAGAAAUUUUCUGCCCUGCCAAGAGUGUCAAUGUAUCUUAAAAAGUAACCUUAGAGAUGACUCAUUUUUCUAAGUAUACUUGUUAUGCUUCUUGAUAUGUAACCCAUUUGCUUGGCAGAAUGGCACAAAUCAUAGAUCACCAAUUUAAAAAUAUGUACCUAUAUUUUAAAGAUUAGUGUACGUAUAACUAUAAUUUAUAACUACAUAACAUGUAAAAAUAGAAGUUUCAAACCAUUUAUGGAAUCAACAUACAAUUGUCGAAUUGAUGAUGUUUUUUUCUCUAAGUCUUAAUCUACUUUGCUGUAUGUUAAUAGAAAAAUCUAUUCUCCUUUGAUUUUGGAUUCAACGAUUCCAGUUGCCUUUGUAUAUAUUUUUUUAACAAUUCCCUUUUCAACCAGGAUGCUUCAGAUAUUGGGUUUAAACACACUGUUUCAUAAACUGCCAGCCUCCUCGGCCGCCUCAGUGCCUCUGAUUCCGUAAAUCAGAUCAUAGGCAGCAUGCUGUCAUAUAAUAAGGUGUCUGAUCCUUAUUACCAGUUUGUUGAUGCACAGACUCCUUCAAAUUGACCAUUGCAACACAUGGUUUCCCCUGAAACUAGCUGUGAUAAUUAGCGUGGUUCUAAUGAGACAGAAUGUCACUGAUCUUGUGCUGAACUGUCGAGUAUCGACGCUACGGAUGGGAACUGUCAGAGCCUGCCAUCUGUGACAGUGCUUGGCAUAUUCCAGUGGCAAGGUAGAGCAUGCUCAAUAGAGUAUUUUCAAACAAAUGGCCCUUUUCUUGAUGAGGCCUCUGUUUUCUGUUCAACUGGAAGAAUGCAUGCCCCAACUCCGUCCUAUGUUAAACCCAUUCUGAGGUCCAAAUUCGAGUAAAUAUUUAAAUCUGUUACGUGUUACAUGAGAGAGGAAUCUUUUAUUUAACAGGUGAAUCUUAAGAGGCAUUUCUUUCCUUGUUUUUUUGUUUUCUUUUUGGCCUCUCUCAGUUGUCCCAUAUUGUCAGUUAACAGUAAAGCAGUCAUUUAAGAUACUUUUCCCCAAUUUUAAAAUUGCCUUGUUUAGAAGAGAUUUGUUGGGGAGUUGGGGAUGGCUCUUAGUGAUAAAGCAGUCUUAUUUAACAGAGGGAAAGGGGAAAUGAAAGAAGUAGUUCAGAAUGUGUAUAAGAAUACACAAGUUGGAUAGAAGAAUUAAAAUGGACAAGACAGUUAGAUCUGUCGGCUCCAGAGAAAAGUAGAGAUUUUUUGCUAUAGUAAAAGUCCAGCGCUGCUUAUCAUUCCAAAAUAUGCUUUGUUGCUUUUUAUUUCCUCCUCUCUGGCAGACCACACAGGGCUUGUUCUGAAGAACAUUUUCACUAAUCUGAUCAGGCAGCCAAAUACGCCGGGAAAACUGCUUUAAUGAUCCCACUAAUUACCUCAAGUCAAUAUGAACUGUAUUAUUAGACUGAGGGAAAAUAUUCCAUUAGGUCUCCCCCUUGGGAGUUUCUCCGCUUUGUGAUGUCACUGAAGCCUUCACCCUCUCGCUUGUAAUUAAUUUUAUUUACACACGCAGGCACGCACAAGGUCACACCUGCACAACCGGCGCUGGCCAGGGAGCUUGUGGCACUCCGGCUUAAUCAGAUCUGUCAUAAUUACCAUUCUGCAUGUUUCUGACACACGCUGUGAAAUAUUUCAAUUUAACUGCCGCUACCAGCACAACCAGAUGCAGUGCGAGUGUGGCUGCAUUGGAAAUAUUAUUCCUCAGGAUAAACUCUCUCCUCCUCCUUUUUCCUCCCAACCCCCCGCCCUUACAGCUAAUGUGGCACAGAAGCUGAUGUAUCCUGUAAAUCUUGAAUGCAGUGCUAGAUUGAUAACAGGCGAUUAGACAGUUUAACCACAAACAGCUUGUUCAUUUUUCACAAAUGAAAACCACAUGUGGUGUAACUAAAAUUUCAGGCCCCCCUUUUUUUUUUUUAAAAAAAAAAAAAAAAAGGUUGGGGUAUGUAUGUGUGUGUAAGAUGUUCUUAAGUAAAAAUAAAAUGCAAUCAAAAGAAGUUAUGUCUAGAAAAAUGGAGUUGUCUAGUUUUUUCCAGGUUAUUUUAUCAAAAAACCUUCAUCAAAUUCCAUUUUUAUACUUUCACCAAAAUUCAAAUGAGAAAAAGAUUGUGUUCUGUAUUGGGUUUUUCAUUUUUUUCUGUUUUUUUUUUUGUUUGUUUGUUUUGUUUUGUUUUCGGGAGUAGGGUGCAUAAUGGUCCUUGAUUCUAUGCCCUACUGUGUUUUCAGUGUUAAACUGUUUAUUUGAACAUAAAUUCUAAAAGGAUUUCUAAGAUUGGAUAUAGAAGUUUUGUUUUGUUUUUAAUGCAUAGUUGUAACUUUAGGCUUUAUAGUCAGAUACCAGGCAAUCGAAAAGCAAAAUGACCCCAAUUAGGAACUUUAUUUCAUAGAGACAUUUGCGGAUUUGUGUAAUUGAUUUGAAAGGCAGAGUUGGAAACCCUGAGGAUUCUGUUUUUAUAGAAAUUGGAGGUAACCUGGCAAAAUACAGGCACAGUAGGUAACUGUUUAAGGCUAAAGUUAUCACCAGUCUCAGAAGAAUCCCCUUGUAAAAAAUUGGAGCCAUAAGAAGGCAGAUAAGCUGGUGGAAAACUAAGGCUAAGAGAGGAGGAAGAAAUAGGAUCAGUGGUGCUUUAGAAUCAUACCUCCUGGAGCCAGCUCACAACAAUCCACUUUAGAGAAUAUUUAAAACAUAGAGAGAGCCUACUUAAAUAUCCUUUAACUCCAAAAAAAUACACUUUUUCUUUUUAUCUUUAUUUUUUUUUAUGACUUCAGUUAUGAACCUAGCUUGGAAGUUUCCUAGAAUGGUGGUGGUGAUUCCUGUUAUCUAUUGGAGAGAAGGUGUACUUUCCAAGGAAUAGUGGGUUUUUUUUUUGUUUUCUUACUCAUUUUCCCUCAUGCUUAGUAGUUUCCUCAUGUCGUGUUUCUUUUUUUUCUUUGUAUGAUCUUUGCUUCUUACUUUUUCUCUGGAGCUUUCUUCCUACUUAGUCUGGCUAUUUUCCAUGUGUUUUGUGUUUAUCCGUGAUGACUUUCAGCUUUAAAAUCUAAUAUUUUUUCUUUCUACUCAUAGUUUCUUUUGGCCUAAAUAUUACUUUAAAGGGAAAAUAAAGUACUGUCUUUGCCAUUUAGUUAGAACUCUUCUUCCAUCUAAGCUGCUAAAAAGUUCACAUAGUUAAUUUAGGUCAUUUGUUUCCCCAGUCUUAGUCUACUUUUUUAGUCAUUUUACAAGAUGCAGUUAUUGUAGAAAAUUUAAUGCAAUCCCCAUAUCACAACACUCUCCUAAUAACUACAGAUACCACCUCAGAGUCCUUCUUAACACAGAAGUAAAAAUACCCAUUGCUAAUCAGGGAGAUAAACCCAUCCCUGCCGUAGUCACUUGUAUUUUAGGAUUCCCAGAAGGGGGUUUGCUCUCCAAAGCAUGGUUGUGUGGGAUGAGUCUUAAGAAAUAAGAAAAGUGGAGGUAAAUCUGUGGUUUCAUUGCUAAUACCUUUGCUUUAAUAACCCGGAAGAUUUUUUGCACAGCUACUUGAAGGUAUGUUAGGGAUAAGCCAGCAUGCAAGUUGAAUCAUAUUUUGCAAUCCCUGGGUGGAGCUCACCGUUAAAAGGAGUCCUGAAUUGUGUCUUUGCAAAUGAAAGAUUUCACUUGCAAGAUAAAAAAUUAUCCCUUAGUUUUUCAUGUUCUCAAACAUUUUUGUAUAUUUGUAUUUCUUUGCCUGGCAUACCUGUUGAUAGAAAAGGGAACAGAGAAGAGAGGGGAAAAAAAGAUGCUCUUAGGGAUGCUAUUGUAUAUAUGGAGUUCAAGAUCAAUACUUUGAGUACAAAGAGCACAUCUUUUCAUUAAAUUGUAUUAGACUACAAGAAUCCCACAUUUCAAAGAAAAUAAUAUUUUAUGGACCCUUCUAGGUCCCUGUCUAAUAAGGAGACAUUUUUCAUUUGUUAACAAGUCACAGAUGAAGAGUUAAUAGAACUAUUACAAACUUUAUCUUGCCUCAACUCAAUCCACCAUCCUCAGUCACUCUGCAAUUGCUCUUGUCCAGUGCUCUCAAAUCCUCAUGAAAAUGUAUAGGAAGGAAAAGUGAUUCCUUUUAAUGUUGUUCGUUAUUUUCUUUUGGACCCACUGUCUUCAUUUUUCAUCAUUUGUUGAAGUCAUUGAUAUCAUUUGCAGUGUAGCCCAAACUGAAAGGAAUUAGAGGGCGUGACUCCUGAUUUUCUACAUAAUGUAGAAAUAAGGUAAUAGUAGCUAAUUUGCAAACUCGCCGAGGUUUUGCCUGACAAUUUGUACAUGAAUUGCAUCAUUCAGGGAAAACAUUGGGAAUUGCAAAGAGUGGUAGUCCUGAUUCCACCGCAAACCGGCUGUGCAGUCCCAGGGAAGCUAUUUAACCUCUCAGAGAUACUACUUCUUCAGGAAAGUAAAAUAGGUUGGGUCAUAUUGUAUCUAAUGUCCCUUGAAGUUCCACGUCUGUGUAUUUGUGACUGAGACAGGUACACAAGUGUGACUGAAGAAGCUAUUUUGAUUGAAGACACUCCUGACAGGUGUUCUAGUCUGGGAAACAUAAGGUAAGAUUUUGAAUAAUAGAAGGGCUUAGUUUGGGGGGUAGGUGGCAAAGUGAUAUUUUUGGGUGUAGAGCCAAGAAGGAUUAUUUACUCAUGGCACAUAAUGGGUAGAAUUGAUUGUUGGAAUCCAAUAUAUGAACUCCGUGUAACAUGGUGUGAGUUGAGCUUAUGAUUGAUACACUCUUCAUCUGAGACUUGUUGAUAGAUGACUGGGAACUCUUUCUUUUGUCCUGCAGGGACCUACCAGAGUCAGUACAUUAUAGGUUAUGAGAUGAGCUAAAUUCCAUUGGGGAAUGAGCUUGGUUUAACAUGUAGUAGGGUGGUGAUUGCUAGCUUGGUAUGAUUUGAAGGUUGCUGAAGAGUUUCCUCUUUAAAUAUGUCUCUUUUUUUGUUUUUCAAUUAAUGCCUGAACAUCUACCCUUAGCUGCUCUUUUUGUUUUAAUUGACUGACUGAUAGAAGCUUUUUCUGACAAUUAAAGACUUCAAUAGCACAUUAAAAAGAAAAAAAAAAAAAACGGCAAUGUGAGACUAAUAGAUUGAUGAGAAAUCACAGAUUUGGAAGAGAUUAGGGAGUAAACGCAAAGGAAAAGGAAGCAGGGAGUGACAGCUCAUUUGAGAGAAUAUCUUGAAACCCGUAUUUGCAAGUUUAUAAAUUGGCACCUGUAGCAUUUAAUAGCUGCUGAGAUGUGUCCAUCCCCAAAUGUCUCCUUUAAAUGUUUACCCAUUUUACUUAUGGUACCAACAGGAGUGCUACUUGUCAUGUGUGUUACUUGACUGGCUCAUUGAUGAAGUAUUUGGUUGUUUAAACGAAAUGCAGAUUAGGUAAAAAUAAAUUACUCUCAACAAGGUCAAGGAAGUGAAGGUUGUAAAUAAAAUACACAUUCACAAACAGACAAAUGCUAUUUGGAAAUUUAGCUCAGUCCUUGCCAAGCUGUUACUGUCUAAAUUACCUUCUUUCUUCCUGGCUUGCAAUUAAUUUUUGCUUAUAUGUUUGGAGAUUGGGGGAAGGGUAAUAGCCUAAUGGGUAAUGAUUUUAUUUUAGUAUUUUGAUUAAAGAGACUAAAUAGCUUGGACCCUGGAUAACCAUAAGGACGAAAGGCUUAUCCAUCAAGCCUAAUACCUAAGCAGAAGUUUAUGCUUGUAUUUCUGAGUAAAUUAGUGUUGAGCCACAUAUAAUAUAAAGUUAUGAGAUGGUUAUGUGCUCAAUUAUUUUCUACCUGUCUCCCCCCUUACCGCUUUUUCUACUCACUUUCUUUUCCUUCUUUGAUCUUCUGUUAGACUGGAGGACAAGGCAGAAGGCAGCUAGUCAGACAGGCAAAGACUGUAUAGCCAUGUACUCUUUAGGAAGCAGAGAUCACAGCAGGGCCCUGGUAUUGAUCACUGCUGGUUUCCUAGCAUUUGCAGAGCCACUCCCCUCCCUUACCCCACCCACCCACACAUCAGAUGCCCAUGCCACUCUUCCAUUCUGUAUCCUGCCUCUAUCCUGUAUCUGCCCUACUACCUAUGUCCCUCUAUUUGGAAAACCCCUGUGUCUUUGGAAAAACUUGUUGGUGUUCUGGCGGAUAGACAUUUCUGCAAGGAUACUCUGCUAAUCUUAUAUACCUUUAAAGUUACUUGGAUGAUAUGAUGUCAAUAACCCAGUAAGAAUUUAGAUGCUUGAUUCAGAAGUUGUAAACCCAUUCUCUGAGUUUGUAACAGGACCAGGAAAACAGUGAGGUAUAUAUGUGUUAGUGCAGUUGUAAACCAAGAAAUUGUCAGCUAUAGAACCCCUGUUUAAUUAAUGAACUGACAUAUAUAAAUCAGUUGAAAGUUUUCUCCAUUUCGAUUGACCUGAGGAUUGGGUGGUGGCAGAGACCUUCUCAUCAACCCCCUACCCUGCACAUACACGAUGAGGGUACUUCUGAAACACCUCUGAUGGAAACCCAAGACUGCUAAGGACACAGUCUAGGAACCCCUGUGCUAGUGACUGUUUUUCUCUAACCCAUCUCUAGGAGGCAUGGUCCUUUAGUGGCAAAAAAAAAAAAAGAAAUUGGUUUCA